rnacentral:piRNA from 1 species
UACAUGACUCCGGAGUGCUCCCCAACAGU